AUUGAACGCUGGCGGCAUGCCUUACACAUGCAAGUCGAACGGCAGCGCGGACUUCGGUCUGGCGGCGAGUGGCGAACGGGUGAGUAAUACAUCGGAACGUACCCUGUUGUGGGGGAUAACUAGUCGAAAGAUUAGCUAAUACCGCAUACGACCUGAGGGUGAAAGUGGGGGACCGCAAGGCCUCACGCAGCAGGAGCGGCCGAUGCCUGAUUAGCUAGUUGGUGGGGUAAAGGCCCACCAAGGCGACGAUCAGUAGCUAGUCUGAGAGGACGAUCAGCCACACUGGGACUGAGACACGGCCCAGACUCCUACGGGAGGCAGCAGUGGGGAAUUUUGGACAAUGGGGGCAACCCUGAUCCAGCAAUGCCGCGUGUGUGAAGAAGGCCUUCGGGUUGUAAAGCACUUUUGUCCGGAAAGAAAUCGCGCUGGUUAAUACCUGGCGUGGAUGACGGUACCGGAAGAAUAAGCACCGGCUAACUACGUG
rnacentral:rRNA from 1 species